rnacentral:rRNA from 1 species
AACGAGCGCUGGCGGCAUGCCUAACACAUGCAAGUCGAACGAGACCUUCGGGCCUAGUGGCGCACGGGUGCGUAACGCGUGGGAACCUGCCCUUAGGUUCGGAAUAACUCCCCGAAAGGGGUGCUAAUACCGGUUAAUGUCUUCGGACCAAAGAUUUAUCGCCUUUGGAUGGGCCCGCGUUGGAUUAGCUAGUUGGUAGGGUAAAAGCCUACCAAGGCGACGAUCCAUAGCUGGUCUGAGAGGAUGAUCAGCCACACUGGGACUGAGACACGGCCCAGACUCCUACGGGAGGCAGCAGUGGGGAAUAUUGGACAAUGGGCGAAAGCCUGAUCCAGCAAUGCCGCGUGAGUGAUGAAGGCCUUAGGGUUGUAAAGCUCUUUUACCCGGGAUGAUAAUGACAGUACCGGGAGAAUAAGCUCCGGCUAACUCCGUG